rnacentral:lncRNA from 1 species
AUGGACAAAAUAUCCUAUACAACUAAAGCAGACAUUCCAACUGAGGCCAGGGGAGCUGUGACUAGAUCCGACUGUUUAAACACCCUUCUGUUAGGAACACACUGUUUAAACACUGUUCUGUUAGGAACCCACUGUUUAAACACUGUUCUGUUAGGAUCACACUGUUUAAACACUGUUCUGUUAGGAACACACUGUUUAUACACUGUUCGGUUAGGAUCACACUGUUUAAACACUGUUCUAUUAAGACAGAUCCGGACAAGACAGACCAAAACAGACCAAGACAGACCAAAACAAGACAAGACAGACAAGGCCGGACAGGCAAAGACAAGACAGGACAAGACAGACCAAGACAGGAAAGGGACAAGAUAGACCAAGACAGGUCAAGUCAAGACAUGACAGACAUGCUGAAGAUAAUCACAAUUGUAGGCAGGAUGAGUGUGUGUGUGUGUGUGUUUAUGUGUAGGCCCAGUUUCCCUGACUCAUAUGACUAUCUGAAACUGGAGUGAGACUGGGUGUGUGUUUGUUUUGAGGCUAUUUCAGAACUGUCACUGUGCCACAAUAGUCACAGAACAUUUAAGAGUAGAUAUGUUUAAAAAGCAGUGCCAGUCAGACGGUCCAAGAGAAACAGCAUUGAGUCCAAACUGGGCACAAGAGGGGCAGACUGAAUGGGCUUUCUGUUAGCUUACCUCCCACAAUCUAUUCUGACCAUCUGUUUCCAAAGGGACUCUUGUGGUUAAACCCUGAUGAAUAAUCUUCAAGAACAACACACACUAAUUCAUACAGGUACACACACCCACACUCAAAAAGUAUGUUGUGGCUCACAAAGCCCRUCAAAGUUGAAGCAUCUUCAAAAAGCAUAGGUCUGAUAAAUCUGGCACCUAAUGAAAUAAGCCUGGCUGGUGCCACGCUUGUAUCGUCUGCAGGAUGCAAGGGGCACACAAACAUCUCUGGAGUCAAGCAAGACUUUCAGAUCCUGGUACAAGGAGGAGCACUUCCAAUGGUGAGGUCCACUAAUUAUCAUAAACGCAUAAUACAUACUUUAAAAAGCAUAGUUUCUAAAGGCAACAGAGUCAUCUGCAACAAUUCAUUUGAUAAUGAAGAUCAACAGAGUYAAAUAAAGAGCAUCUCUGGGUGGUUUAAUUGUCCAUUACAUACUGUACAUAGAGCGCCUUCAGGAAGGAUUCACACCCCUUGACUUAAUCCACAUUUUGUUGUGUUACAGCCUGAAUUCAAAAAGGUAUUAAAUAGAUUAUUUCUCUCUGCUACAUCUGCUCCUGCCAUCUACUUCUCAUCCUGUCUCCCUAACCUGCUGCCACUUCCCCAGUGCUCUCUCCCUCUGUGUGUGUGUGUGUGUGUGUGUGAUUGUGUGAGUGGAGACAGGUGUGCUGGAGGCGGAGCAGAUCCCCACCAGCUGCAACAUGUUCCAUAAUCAAGGCCUUUACAAAUAAUCAGCCCUGCCACUUCCACGCUGCUAGUUCGUAGCCUCUGCUCAGUCAGUCUGCGGUUUAAGCUGUUUGUUCCUGCAUAGAUCGUGUUAUCCUCUUGUUCAUGGUUUUCCCUAGCCUGACUCUUCUUUCUGCUACAGUUCCGUCUGCUCUGACUCUGGUCCCCAGUCCCUCGUCAGUCCUGCUUACCCUGCCCCUACUCCCCUUGCCUCAGCCUCAGUUCCUGGUUCCCUGCUACCCGCGCAAGCUUUAUUCAAGCUUUGUCAGGUUGGUGGUUGAUCAUUGCUAGACAGCCAUUUUCAAGUCUUUGUGACGUGGUGAGGUUGGACCCAGGUGCAGAGAAGAGACCAGGAAUCAGUGGUUAAGGAUAAACAUAAUACUUCACUGAGAAACGGUAGUCGCAGGAUCACAGUAAACGUAGGUGAUUAGAUGUUGAAAUGGUGCUGGAUUAGUGGAGGCAGAGCUUGUUUUCUUUGCGACUUGCAGUAACUCUCUGUGGUUCUAAAUCAAUAGAUUAGUAGUCCGAGAAUGUCUGAAAAAUGUACUUGUUCUARCAUGCUGUAGGUUUGUUACAUGCAAUAUGCUUUCUGGACUUCCCCAGACAGAUGUUGCUCUCUGGUUUUGUGGUGAAACAAAGGUGUGGUUGAAUUUAUUCUACCACUGUCUUAUUGUCUAGGCUUUAAGCCUAUAUAUAUCAGUGACAAGGCAUAUGAACUAACAGGUUAUAGCUCAAACAAUGCAAUUAUCACAACUUAUUGGUUGAAAAAUUGCCCACCGCUAUUAUUGAUCCUUAGCUCUUUCUUUGUUUACCCAUCUUCUAAUUGGUUGGUCUUCUUUGUGAGGCAUUGGAAAACCUCCCRGGUCUUUGUUGUUGAAUAUGUUUGAAAUUCACUGCUCAACUGAGGGACCUUACAGAUCAUUGUAUGUGUGGAGUACAGAGAUGAGGUAGUCAUUCAAAAAUCCAUGCAACUUAUUACGCGACUUGUUAAGCACAUUUUUACUCCUGAACUUAUUUUGACUUGCCAUAACAAAGGGGUUGAAUACUAAAUUGACUCAAGACAUUUCAGCGUUUCAUUUUUAAUUACUUUGCAAUAGGCCAGUGACACAAAAUCUCAUUUGAAUCCAUUUUAAAUUCAGACUGUAACACAACAUGUGGAGAAAGACAAAGGGUGAAUCGUUUCUGAAGCCGCUGUAGAUCUGUUCACCAGUAAUCCUCAYGKAGCACUUAGAAACACACAGCUAAGCUCACUAUUAGUGCUGUUUGACAUUGCAACAGGAAUAUUCACAGUGACGUAAGGGACAGUAGCCUAAAAAGCUAUCCUGAUAUACACAAUCUGACAUCCAAWGUCAUAAGCAUAUUUCAUUGACACAAUCACGUCAACUUCCAUUGUUGUCUAGACUAUUUUGGGUAGGCUGAUUUGGUGUGAUGUUAAUAAACUAUAGGAAGAUGCUGAAGAGUUUAUUGCUAAUAAACAGUAGUAGUUUAUUUGUAUACAUACAUCUGUUGUGAGGUUUAAACAGGCUGAAAAGUUGGAGGCCAUUUUCCUGCUGUAAUUACACCUUCAGUUCAAAUYGGCAGAUGGUAGGAAUACGCUUCAACAGGAAAGGCACACGCGAGACAGACAUUUUGUCAUUCCCUGUUGUAAAUAGUUAAAUAUUGAMCAUGAGAAAUAUAUAUGAUAUUGUUUGUAUUCUAAAUGUCAUAUAGCUAACUAAUACAUGGCAAAUUGCAUUUUAAUACUGGAACUCCCAUGAAGUCAACUUGUGUGUUUGUGUUUUUGAGUCAUAAAAUAAAGAUAUGUGUAACACCCCCCCCCCUUAUAACAGCAGCAAAAUCACACAAACAAAUAACAGAAGAACUCCUACACAAAAAAGCAGCCUGGUCCUUAAACACACAGUAACUGUUAAACAUUACAUUGUGUAAUGCGAACGUAUCUUUUAAAACCUACUUUUAAAGCACUUUSUAUUAAGGGCCUUUGUCCUAUACUUUUUUCUUCAUCGAGUGGACCGGUUAUAGCCUGGUCCCAGAUCUGUUGAGCCAUUGGUGUAACAAUGACUAUAGGAGUUGGCAAGUCAUUACAAACUGAUCUGGGACCAGACAAAGUAAACUUCAAAGCCACAUUUUGAUAAGUGUCUUUAUAUCUACUGUUAAGAGAAACAUGGCUUUAGUGUUGUUGAUGUUGUCACUGGUGGGAUGAAGGUUUAUGCCCAGUUCACCCAGUGGGGCCUGGAGAAACAGCUGUUGGUGAUGUGUAGUACUGUAGUGAGUUGUUCUUCUAACAGACAUGGGGCGUAUGGUUGAGGAGCUGAUAGGUCUAGCUGGAUGACCAGAACUCUGGCUCUCAUCAAAACAGUCCUUCCACCAUUCCAGGUCAAAUCUCAAUCUGGAUGGUGGAGAGAGAGAGGGUGGGAGGAGGGGGGCAGAGGAGGGGGGGGAGAGACACAGCGAGAGACACAGAGAGAGAGAGAGUGGGGGGCAGAGACACAGCAAGAUAGAGAGAGACAAUUAGACCAAACAAAAGAUAAUUACUUGACAUAUUGGAAAGAAUUAACAAAAACUAAAAAACUAGAAUGCUAUUUGGUCUAAACAGAGAGUACACAGUGGCAGAAUACCUGACCACUGUGACUGACCCAAACUUAAGGAAAGCUUUGACUAUGUACAGACUCAGUGAGCAUAGCUUGCUAUUGA